GUGAUUUCUGAGGGGAGAGCAGUUCUGCACUUGAGAUGCAAAGGAUGGAUGAAACUAAAACACAGCUUUUAAUGCAAUGUUCCUGAACAUUUUGGAAAUUAUUUUA